CUCUUGUCGUUCAUGGGUAGGACACCGGACUGCGGAUCCGGAGAUCGGGGUUCGAGUCUCCGUAGGAGCA
rnacentral:tRNA from 1 species